CGCAGGAACCCAAAGGAUGAGUGUUCCCAGCACACCAGGGCACUUCAUAAAUGCAUCCCAUGGGGCUGCAUGGCUCCAGCGGUGCUGAAGUGAAUCUGGGGCCAUUCAGUACCCCAGAACAGAUGCACAGGUCUGGGGACUACAGAGCCCAGGACAGUGGGAGCCAGCUCCCCACACAGUGCCCUUCCAGGCCAGGCAUGGGGAGGUGGGUGGGAUAGGAAGGGUACCCACUCCCUCAGCCUUCUCCCCUAGUGAUCCCACCCCAGAAAAGACCACACAGUGAGAGUCCAACCUCUGCGCUAGCAAAGAGAAGCCCUUCUCAGCCAUCUCCUGGGCCCUUCCUGUUAUACACAGAAAGGACAGAGGAAAGCCCUCUUGACUCCACCUGCUCUAGGGUUCCCUUCUCUGUUUCCCUUCACAGCAGGCAAGCAGGUGCAUCCACAGGACUCCCUCUGGCCCUCCCAUCUCACCCUGCUUUGGACCAUCCCCCAAAACACUUUCCUGGGUCAGCUGUGGCCAAGCAGUGCCUGUUCCCUCAGGUCCAUGGUGGGUCAGGCCUUCCUCCCCUCUCUGGUACAUGGAUACCUAGAACACAUUUCCUCCUGUCUUUCCUCUCCUAG
rnacentral:lncRNA from 1 species